UACGUAGGAGGCAAGCGUUGUCCGGAAUUACUGGGCGUAAAGCGCGUGUAGGUGGUGGGACAAGUCUGCUGUGAAAGCGCCUGGCUUAACCGGGCGAGGUCGGCGGAAACUGUCCGACUCGAGGACGGUAGAGGGGGGUGGAAUUCCCGGUGUAGUGGUGAAAUGCGUAGAGAUCGGGAGGAACACCUGUGGCGAAAGCGGCUUCCUGGUCCAGCACCGACGUUCAGGCACGAAAGCGUGGGGAGCAAACAGG
rnacentral:rRNA from 1 species